CCCUUAGAUGCUCUGGGCCGCACGCGCGCUACACUGAUGCAUGCAACAAGUCUUUUCCUUGGCCGAGAGGCCUGGGCAAUCUUUGAAUAUGCAUCGUGAUGGGGAUAGACGAUUGCAAUUAUUCGUCUUCAACGAGGAAUUCCUAGUAAACGCAAGUCAUCAGCUUGCAUUGAUUACGUCCCUGCCCUUUGUACACACCGCCCGUCGCACCUACCGAUUGAAUGGUCCGGUGAAGGCUUCGGAGGCGGCUUUCUCAAUGUUUAUUCGGCGAGACUGCUGCCAAAGUUGAAUGAACCUUACCAUUUAGAGGAAGGUGAAGUCGUAACA
rnacentral:rRNA from 1 species